GAUGGCGACCGGCGCACGGGUGAGUAACACGUAUCCAACCUGCCGAUGACUCGGGGAUAGCCUUUCGAAAGAAAGAUUAAUACCCGAUGGCAUAGUUCUUCCGCAUGGUGGAACUAUUAAAGAAUUUCGGUCAUCGAUGGGGAUGCGUUCCAUUAGGUUGUUGGCGGGGUAACGGCCCACCAAGCCUUCGAUGGAUAGGGGUUCUGAGAGGAAGGUCCCCCACAUUGGAACUGAGACACGGUCCAAACUCCUACGGGAGGCAGUAUG
rnacentral:rRNA from 1 species